UGGGGAAUAUUGCACAAUGGGCGAAAGCCUGAUGCAGCAACGCCGCGUGAAGGAUGAAGGCCUUCGGGUCGUAAACUUCUGUCCUUGGGGAAGAAGAACUGACGGUACCCUUGGAGGAAGCCCCGGCUAACUACGUGCCAGCAGCCGCGGUAAUACGUAGGGGGCAAGCGUUAUCCGGAAUUAUUGGGCGUAAAGCGUGCGUAGGUGGUCCUUUAAGCGCAGGGUUUAAGGCAAUGGCCCAACCAUUGUUCGCCCUGCGAACUGGAGGACUUGAGUGCAGGAGAGGAAAGCGGAAUUCCUAGUGUAGCGGUGAAAUGCGUAGAUAUUAGGAGGAACACCAGUGGCGAAGGCGGCUUUCUGGACUGUAACUGACACUGAGGCACGAAAGCGUGGGGAGCAAACAGG
rnacentral:rRNA from 2 species